AAGAAGACCUGAUAAAUCAAACAAUAACAGCAAAUCCAGGCAUGGUGACGCACCCCUGUAAUCUCAGUACUUGGAAGGCCGAGGCAGGAGGAUCCAGAGUUCAAGGCCAGCCUGAACUACAUAUCAAGACUGUCUCAAAAAACUACCACACAAAUAACCAAGAGGACAGGGGUGGCGUGGUUUCCAACCCUAAAGACGAAGAACCAUGUUAUGGUUUUCAUCUGGUUGGGCACACUGUUGAGUGGGUUCAGUGCUUGCCAAGUCUGCCGGGAAGACCUGGACCCCUGGGAGAGGGCUCUCUGUGAAUGGUCGAAGCUGCUUUCCCGAGAGCUAUGAUUUCAAGAUGUCUGGAGCUAGGACAGCACUAGUGAGGAGGGACCUGAAGCCAGGUGCCCUUCGGCCUCCUCUGCCCAUGCCUCUCAGGAGUCACGUCGUCGUCGUCUACCUGUCCUGCUUGUCCCUGCCUUUGUUCCAGGGCCAAUCUCUGCAGAUAGCAGCUGUUGGCCACCACUGGCAUGGCCCCAGAGAAGCAUGCCUGGCAGAUGUGCAGAAGAGGCAGAGGCACAGCAUAGGAAGGCUGGAGCUGGGUACCUGGCAGGCAGCGAGCGCUCGGCAUUUACUGAGUAAUCAGUCUACGCCAGGCACUGAGCCAGGGGCUAAGGACCCCACAGCAAGAGAGACCCACUUCCUGCCUGCUUGCAGCUCACACUGGAUCCACGAGGCUUCCCCUUCCUUCCGGCUCACCUCCUUUUCACCCCCAUUUCUUUUCCAACCAGAACCCUCGUCAGCCUUCACAGACUUCAGCCACGGCCUUCACACAGCACCAGACAGCAUGACGACACAGCAGGAGGGGCAUGUGACAUCUACGGGCUUGUAGACUUCUCCCUGGAAGUGGCCUUCGAACAGGCCCACAGCUGAGUCCCUGCCCAGCUGCGGGGCUGGGACCUGACAAGUGCCGUGCAUUCUUGGAGUCCCAAUUCCCUUUUCUUUAAAUAAAGCCUGUGGGUUUCCUCCGCUAAA